rnacentral:rRNA from 1 species
UACGUAGGGUGCAAGCGUUAAUCGGAAUUACUGGGCGUAAAGCGUGCGUAGGCGGUUCGUUAAGUCAGCUGUGAAAGCCCCGGGCUCAACCUGGGAAUUGCGGUUGAAACUGGCGAACUAGAAUCUGGCAGAGGGGGGUGGAAUUCCACGUGUAGCAGUGAAAUGCGUAGAGAUGUGGAGGAACACCGAUGGCGAAGGCAGCCCCCUGGGCUGAGAUUGACGCUCAGGCACGAAAGCGUGGGGAGCAAACAGG